rnacentral:rRNA from 1 species
GACGAACGCUGGCGGCGUGCUUAACACAUGCAAGUCGAGCGGUAAGGCCCUUUCGGGGGUACACGAGCGGCGAACGGGUGAGUAACACGUGGGUGACCUGCCCUCAGCUCUGGAUAAGCCUGGGAAACCGGGUCUAAUACCGGAUAUGACUCCAUGACGCAUGUUGUGGGGUGGAAAGCCUUGUGCGGCUGAGGAUGGGCCCGCGGCCUAUCAGCUUGUUGGUGGGGUGANGGCCUACCAAGGCGACGACGGGUAGCCGGCCUGAGAGGGCGACCGGCCACACUGGGACUGAGACACGGCCCAGACUCCUACGGGAGGGCAGCAGUGGGGAAUCUUGCGCAAUGGGCGAAAGCCUGACGCAGCGACGCCGCGUGAGGGAUGACGGCC